CAUAAAUGCAAUAAAAAAUUGAAGCCUUCCCAAAACACCAGAUUUUACAAUCAAAGCUCUGCAUCCACUUGCCCAUAUCAAAUCACAAAGGCUGAUGGGCAGGUAGAGGUGCUUUUUUGCCAAGGGUGCUGGUCUUGGCCAGAGCAAGGGAACUGCAUUUGUGUCACCUCCAUAGAAGCUCCAAGAGGUUGUUUCUGACAGCUUGACCACCUCUCACUCUCACAAGUUGGCUGCCUUGUCAUUGGCAGAGUCCUCAAGCAGAUCCAGCUGCCCAGACAGAGCUGGCUCGUGCUUGGAAACGUGGCAGGCAGCCAGAGCAGCAGAGAGACCUGCUGGCUUUUCCCUACACAAUCCCUUAACAAGGAAUCCUGAUGUUCCUGGGCACAGUUUUCUUUCCCUGGGUACCUCACACCUUCGGGCAGCUGCUUUGAUACCUCUGAGACUCCCCUCAGCACAGAAACAAACAAGUUUUUUUGUUUCUUUCUCUGUAAGGAUGAGCAUGCAAGAAAACCCCUUGUUAAACAGGAAUUUCUUUGCACCAGAGAGGCAACUCCAGCCCACUCUAACCAGGCAGAGAGGAUCCUUGUUGGGAGAUCAGUUUGCUCCUCCAGGAGCAUCAUGUUCCCCUUGGCCAGCUAAAUCUUCCCUCUACAAGGCCUGAAGAGUCCAAGCAGGUGACCAGAGAGUGAGCCAGGCCAAAUGUCGCUGGGUGCCAAACUUGGCAUCAGCAUUAUUGGUCUGUUAUCAACAGCAGAGGUUCACUGGGUUAUGCAGAUGCCUCCAAAUCUGUGAUUUUAAAUUUCUGGAGCAAGUCAAUCAAUAAAGUUCACUUGAGGAUCAAGGUCUCCUUGCAGAAACAAGACAGAAUGAGUAGGCAUUUCUCACUUUUACAAAAAAGAUGAUGGGGAGAGGGGCCAAGGCUACCUCUGAACUGACCAUUCUGCUUUAG
rnacentral:lncRNA from 13 species